rnacentral:rRNA from 1 species
UACGGGAGGCAGCAGUAAGGAAUAUUGGUCAAUGGAGGCAACUCUGAACCAGCCAUGCCGCGUGCAGGAAGACGGCCCUACGGGUUGUAAACUGCUUUUGUACCGGAAUAAACCUUUUCACGUGUGAGAAGCUGAAUGUACGGUAAGAAUAAGGAUCGGCUAACUCCGUGCCAGCAGCCGCGGUAAUACGGAGGAUCCAAGCGUUAUCCGGAUUUAUUGGGUUUAAAGGGUGCGUAGGCGGCUUAUUAAGUCAGGGGUGAAAGGCGGUAGCUUAACUAUCGGAGUGCCUUUGAUACUGAUGAGCUUGAAUGCAGCUGAGGUAGGCGGAAUGUGACAAGUAGCGGUGAAAUGCAUAGAUAUGUCACAGAACACCGAUUGCGAAGGCAGCUUACUAAAGUGCGAUUGACGCUGAGGCACGAAAGCGUGGGGAUCAAACAGGAUUAGAUACCCUGGUAGUCCACGCCCUAAACGAUGAAUACUCGAUGUUGGCGAUAUACGGUCAGCGUCUAAGCGAAAGCGUUAAGUAUUCCACCUGGGGAGUACGCCCGCAAGGGUGAAACUCAAAGGAAUUGACGGGGGCCCGCACAAGCGGAGGAGCAUGUGGUUUAAUUCGAUGAUACGCGAGGAACCUUACCCGGGCUUGAAAGUUAGUGAAUGAUACAGAGACGUAUCAGUCCUUCGGGACACGAAACUAGGUGCUGCAUGGCUGUCGUCAGCUCGUGCCGUGAGGUGUUGGGUUAAGUCCCGCAACGAGCGCAACCCCUGUGUUUAGUUGCCAGCACGUAAUGGUGGGGACUCUAAACAGACUGCCUAUGCAAAUAGAGAGGAAGGAGGGGACGACGUCAAGUCAUCAUGGCCCUUACGUCCGGGGCUACACACGUGCUACAAUGGACAGUACAGAGGGCCGCUACCUGGCAACAGGAUGCCAAUCUCAAAAAGCUGUUCACAGUUCGGAUCGGGGUCUGCAACUCGACCCCGUGAAGUUGGAUUCGCUAGUAAUCGCGUAUCAGCAAUGACGCGGUGAAUACGUUCCCGGGCCUUGUACACACCGCCCGUCAAGCCAUGGAAGCUGGAAGUGCCUGAAGUGCGUAACCGCAAGGAGC